UACGUAGGGUGCAAGCGUUUAAUCGGAAUUACUGGGCGUAAAGCGUGCGCAGGCGGUUUUUGUAAGUCUGUCGUGAAAUCCCCCGGGCUCAACCUGGGAAUUGCGAUGGAGACUGCAAGGCUAGAAUCUGGCAGAGGGGGGGUAGAAUUCCACGUGUAGCAGUGAAAUGCGUAGAGAUGUGGAGGAACACCGAUGGCGAAGGCAGCCCC
rnacentral:rRNA from 1 species